rnacentral:tRNA from 1 species
GGGGAGAUGGCCGAGUGGUUAUGGCGCUGCGUUCAGGUUCAAACCUGGAUUCUAGAUUUCUAGCUAGUUUCGCAGUGGAGCAAUCCGCGUGGGUUCGAGUCCCACUCUCCUCA